rnacentral:rRNA from 1 species
AACGAACGCUGGCGGCAUGCCUAACACAUGCAAGUCGAACGAAGCCUUCGGGCUUAGUGGCGCACGGGUGCGUAACACGUGGGAAUCUGCCCUUCGGUUCGGAAUAACAGUUAGAAAUGACUGCUAAUACCGGAUGAUGACGUAAGUCCAAAGAUUUAUCGCCGAAGGAUGAGCCCGCGUAGGAUUAGGUAGUUGGUAGGGUAAUGGCCUACCAAGCCGACGAUCCUUAGCUGGUCUGAGAGGAUGAUCAGCCACACUGGGACUGAGACACGGCCCAGACUCCUACGGGAGGCAGCAGUGGGGAAUAUUGGACAAUGGGCGAAAGCCUGAUCCAGCAAUGCCGCGUGAGUGAUGAAGGCCUUAGGGUUAUAAAGCUCUUUUACCUAGGGAUGAUAAUGACAGUACCUGGAGAAUAAGCUCCGGCUAACUCCGUGCCAGCAGCCGCGGUAAU